AACGAACGCUGGCGGCAGGCCUAACACAUGCAAGUCGAGCGAGGACUUCGGUUCUAGCGGCGGACGGGUGAGUAACGCGUGGGAAUGUGCCCUUCUCUACGGAAUAGCCCUGGGAAACUGGGAGUAAUACCGUAUACGCCCUAUUGGGGAAAGAUUUAUCGGAGAAGGAUCAGCCCGCGUUGGAUUAGGUAGUUGGUGGGGUAAUGGCCUACCAAGCCGAAGAUCCAUAGCUGGUUUGAGAGGAUGAUCAGCCACACUGGGACUGAGACACGGCCCAGACUCCUACGGGAGGCAGCAGUGGGGAAUCUUAGACAAUGGGGGCAACCCUGAUCUAGCCAUGCCGCGUGAGUGAUGAAGGCCUUAGGGUUGUAAAGCUCUUUCAGCUGGGAAGAUAAUGACGGUACCAGCAGAAGAAGCCCCGGCUAACUCCGUG
rnacentral:rRNA from 1 species